rnacentral:rRNA from 1 species
GACGAACGCUGGCUGCGUGCUUAACACAUGCAAGUCGAACGGAAGGGCCCUGCUUUUGUGGGGUGCUCGAGUGGCGAACGGGUGAGUAACACGUGAGUAACCUGCCCUUGACUUUGGGAUAACUUCAGGAAACUGGGGCUAAUACCGGAUAGGAGCUCCUGCUGCAUGGUGGGGGUUGGAAAGUUUCGGCGGUUGGGGAUGGACUCGCGGCUUAUCAGCUUGUUGGUGGGGUAGUGGCUUACCAAGGCUUUGACGGGUAGCCGGCCUGAGAGGGUGACCGGCCACAUUGGGACUGAGAUACGGCCCAGACUCCUACGGGAGGCAGCAGUGGGGAAUAUUGCACAAUGGGCGGAAGCCUGAUGCAGCAACGCCGCGUGCGGGAUGACGGCCUUCGGGUUGUAAACCGCUUUCGCCUGUGACGAAGCGUGAGUGACGGUAAUGGGUAAAGAAGCACCGGCUAACUACGUG